AACGUAGGAGACAAACGUUAUCCGGAGUUACUGGGCGUAAAGGGCGUGUAGGUGGUAGUGUAAGUCUGGCGUGAAAUUUUUCGGCUAAACCGGGAAAGGUCGUCGGAUACUGCACAACUAGAGGACGGUAGAGGCGUGUGGAAUUCCAGGUGUAGCGGUGAAAUGCGUAGAUAUCUGGAGGAACACCGGUGGCGAAGGCGGCAUCCUGGACCGGCAUUGACGCUGAGGAGCGAAAGCCAGGGGAGCAAACGGG
rnacentral:rRNA from 1 species